rnacentral:rRNA from 1 species
CUACAGAGGGUGCGAGCGUUAAUCGGAAUUACUGGGCGUAAAGCGCGCGUAGGCGGCUUAUUAAGUCAGAUGUGAAAUCCCCGGGCUCAACCUGGGAACUGCAUCUGAUACUGGUAAGCUAGAGUUUUGGAGAGGGAAGUAGAAUUUCAGGUGUAGCGGUGAAAUGCAUAGAGAUCUGAAGGAAUACCAGUGGCGAAGGCGACUUCCUGGCCAAAAACUGACGCUGAGGUGCGAAAGCGUGGGUAGCAAACGGGAUUAGAAACCCUAGUAGUCC